UAUGUACUCCCUCCGUUCUGAAUUACUUGUCGCGGAAAUGAAUGUAUCUAGAACUAAAAAAUGUCUAGAUACAUCCAUUUCUACGACAAGUAAUUCCGAACGAAGGAAGUAUGUC
rnacentral:pre_miRNA from 1 species